AUUGAACGCUGGCGGCAGGCCUAACACAUGCAAGUCGAGCGGCUGCAGGGAGCUUGCCACUUGGUUCAGCGGCGGAAGGGUGAGUAAUGUAUAGGAAAAUGCGUGGUGGUGGGGGGUAAAGUCCGGCAACGGGCGGUAAUAUCGCACAUGUGCUGAGGGAGAAAGAGGGGGGUAUUUGGACGUCACGCUCUAAGAUGUGGCUAGGUCGGAUUAGCUAGUUGGUGGGGUAAAGGCCUACCAAGGCGACGAUCCGUAGCUGGUCUGAGAGGAUGAUCAGUCACACUGGAACUGAGACACGGUCCAGACUCCUACGGGAGGCAGCAGUGGGGAAUUUUGGACAAUGGGCGAAAGCCUGAUCCAGCCAUGCCGCGUGUGUGAAGAAGGUCUUCGGAUUGUAAAGCACUUUUAGUUGGGAGGAAGGGCAUUAAGUUAAUACCUUGCGGGUUUGACGUUACCAACAGAAUAAGCACCGGCUAACUUCGUG
rnacentral:rRNA from 1 species